CUUGGACUCAAUUUAUAGACCAGGCUGGCCUCAAAUUCACAGAGAUCUGCUUGCCUCUGCCUCCUGAGUGCUGGGAU
ensembl:miRNA predicted gene, 22914